GCCAUCAGAGCACUGCUGCAGCAGCAGCGCUAACGUGCCGUGUAUUCGCUUCGCGAGGAUCUAUACUAGCAGCCGCUCUCCUGGGAACUGCAUCUGAUACUGGCAGCUUGAGUCUCGUAGAGGGGGGUAGAAUUCCAGGUGUAGCGGUGAAAUGCGUAGAGAUCUGGAGGAAUACCGGUGGCGAAGGCGGCCCCCUGGACGAAGACUGACGCUCAGGUGCGAAAGCGUGGGGAGCAAACAGGAUUAGAUACCCUGGUAGUCCACGCCGUAAACGAUGUCGACUUGGAGGUUGUGCCCUUGAGGCGUGGCUUCCGGAGCUAACGCGUUAAGUCGACCGCCUGGGGAGUACGGCCGCAAGGUUAAAACUCAAAUGAAUUGACGGGGGCCCGCACAAGCGGUGGAGCAUGUGGUUUAAUUCGAUGCAACGCGAAGAACCUUACCUGGUCUUGACAUCCACAGAACUUUCCAGAGAUGGAUUGGUGCCUUCGGGAACUGUGAGACAGGUGCUGCAUGGCUGUCGUCAGCUCGUGUUGUGAAUGUUGGGUUAAGUCCCGCAACGAGCGCAACCCUUAUCCUUUGUUGCAGCGGUCCGGCGGGACUCAAAGGAGACUGCCAGUGAUAACUGGAGGAAGGGGGAUGACGUCAAGUCAUCAUGGCCCUUACGACAGGCUACACACGUGCUACAUGCGCAUACAAAGAGAGCGACCUCGCGAGAGCAGCGACUCAUAAAGUGCGUCGUAUCCGGAUUGAGUCUGCACUCGACUCCAUGAAGUCGGAUCGCUAGUAUCAUGAAUCAGAUGCCACGUGAUACGUCCCCGGAUCUA
rnacentral:rRNA from 1 species